UAACACAUGCAAGUCAGGGGCAGCACAAGGAGCAAUCUGAGGUGGCGACCGGCGCACGGGUGAGUAACACGUAUGCAACCUGCCUGUAAGCGGGGAAUAACCCGUUGAAAGACGGACUAAUACCGCAUAAUACUAAAUUACUGCAUGGUAAGUUUAUUUAAACAUUUAUGGCUUACAGAUGGGCAUGCGCAUGAUUAGCUAGUUGGAGAGGUAACGGCUCCCCAAGGCAACGAUCAUUAGGGGUUCUGAGAGGAAGGUCCCCCACACUGGUACUGAGACACGGACCAGACUCCUACGGGAGGCAGCAGUGAGGAAUAUUGGUCAAUGGACGAGAGUCUGAACCAGCCAAGUCGCGUGCAGGAAGAAUGUCCCUAUGGAUUGUAAACUGCUUUUGCAGGGGAAUAAAGUGCAUCACGUGUGAUGUUUUGUAUGUACUCUGCGAAUAAGGAUCGGCUAACUCCGUGCCAGCCGCCGC
rnacentral:rRNA from 1 species